GACGAACGCUGGCGGCGUGCUUAACACAUGCAAGUCGAACGGAAAGGCCCCUUUGGGGGUACUCGAGUGGCGAACGGGUGAGUAACACGUGAGUAACCUGCCCUUGACUUCGGGAUAACUUCAGGAAACUGGGGCUAAUACCGGAUAGGAAUCCUUGCUGCAUGGUGGGGGUUGGAAAGCUUCGGCGGUUUUGGAUGGACUCACGGCUUAUCAGCUUGUUGGUGGGGUAGUGGCUUACCAAGGCUUUGACGGGUAGCCGGCCUGAGAGGGCGACCGGCCACAUUGGGACUGAGAUACGGCCCAGACUCCUACGGGAGGCAGCAGUGGGGAAUAUUGCACAAUGGGCGGAAGCCUGAUGCAGCAACGCCGCGUGCGGGAUGACGGCCUUCGUGUUGUAAACCGCUUUCAGCAGGGGCGAAGCUUGUGGUGACGGUACCUGCUGAAGAAGCACCGGCUAACUACGUG
rnacentral:rRNA from 1 species